rnacentral:rRNA from 1 species
GGAUAACUACCCUUAGGACUGGGAUAACCCUGGGAAACUGGGGAUAAUACCGGAUAGGCAAUUUUUCCUGUAAUGGUUUUUUGUUUAAAUGUUUUUUCGCCUAAGGAUGGGUCUGCGGCCGAUUAGGUAGUUGGUUAGGUAAUGGCUUACCAAGCCGUUGAUCGGUACGGGUUGUGAGAGCAAGAGCCCGGAGAUGGAACCUGAGACAAGGUUCCAGGCCCUACGGGGUGCAGCAGGCGCGAAACCUCCGCAAUGUGAGAAAUCGCGACGGGGGGAUCCCAAGUGCCAUUCUUAACGGGAUGGCUUUUCAUUAGUGUAAAGAGCUUUUGGAAUAAGGGCUGGGCAAGACCGGUGCCAGCCGCCGCGGUAACACCGGCAGCUCUAGUGGUAGCAGUUUUUAUUGGGCCUAAAGCGUCCGUAGCCGCUUUAAUAAGUCUCUGGUGAAAUCCUGUAGCUUAACUGUGGGAAUUGCUGGAGAUACUAUUAGACUUGAGACCGGGAGAGGUUAGAGGUACUCCCAGGGUAGAGGUGAAAUUCUGUAAUCCUGGGAGGACCGCCUGUUGCGAAGGCGUCUAACUGGAACGGUUCUGACGGUGAGGGACGAAAGUUAGGGGCGCGAACCGGAUUAGAUACCCGGGUAGUCCUAACUGUAAACGAUGCGGACUUGGUGUUGGGGUGGCUUUGAGCUGCUUCAGUGCCGAAGGGAAGCUGUUAAGUCCGCCGCCUGGGAAGUACGGUCGCAAGACUGAAACUUAA